rnacentral:lncRNA from 1 species
AAGUGGGUAACAAGAUGGUCACAUUUGGCUUAAGCCAGUCAUGAACCAUCACCUGCAGCUGAGAAUGUUGCCGUUGGAAUGAAAUAGGUUCAGUGAACCAAGCAGAAGGGGGCAGUGGAUGUUGAAUGGGCAGGUAGAGGUAACUGCCAGAUAACGUACUUGUCCAUCAGUGGGGACUACAGGGUUGCUUAAAUUGUGAUGCAUCCCUACUAUGUAAUACUUUCUGGCCAUUGAAAUGAAUAAGAUAGAACUGUGUAUACCCUAGUGUAGAAGAAUAUCUCACA